rnacentral:rRNA from 1 species
GAUGAACGCUGGCGGCGCGCCUAACACAUGCAAGUCGAACGGCACCUAUCUUCGGAUAGAAGCGAGUGGCGAACGGCUGAGUAACACGUGGAGAGCCUGCCCCCUCCCCCGGGAUAGCCGCCCGAAAGGACGGGUAAUACCGGAUACCCCCGGGCGCCGCAUGGCGCCCGGGCUAAAGCCCCGACGGGAGGGGAUGGCUCCGCGGCCCAUCAGGUAGACGGCGGGGUGACGGCCCACCGUGCCGACAACGGGUAGCCGGGUUGAGAGACCGACCGGCCAGAUUGGGACUGAGACACGGCCCAGACUCCUACGGGAGGCAGCAGUGGGGAAUCUUGCGCAAUGGGGGGAACCCUGACGCAGCGACGCCGCGUGCGGGACGGAGGCCUUCGGGUCGUAAACCGCUUUCAGCAGGGAAGAGUCAAGACUGUACCUGCAGAAGAA